AAUGAUAUAUUUAGGUUACGAAACUGUCGCAAGUGUUGAUAGAGAGUUUUACGAUGACUUUGCAACAAAAGCAAACGAGUCUGAAGACAUGAGAGUUGAUGUCGAGUACCCUGUUCUAACACAAAGCAUUUUACAGCGCCCAGCUGAUGAGAGCUUUUGCUACGCGCGUUAUAAUUAUGCACGAGAGUUGAGAAAAUCCCACAGGCAUGAUGCAUACAAACUCUCGCUAUAUUAGGGACGGGUCAUGCAGUCUUAAGCCUUGAUCAAACGCGAAUGAGAGUUGAGAAGCAGAGUUUAAAGCGAGUAAAGUGCAGACAAUGACUAAUUAAUGUAUAAUUAUAAGCAAUACCACGGAAUUAGGAGUAUAACUUUAUUAUAUCUUAUAUUAUUGAAGUAUAUGGUUUGUUUUAGUCUUGGUGAGACACUAUUGUACGAGAUUAUUUUUCUGCAAUUUUAUAUGUUAUUAUGCAAUAAAAUAUGUUAUUAUUAAAGUUAAAGUUAAAGUGAUUCAUUUUCAGUUCAGCCUUUCGUUACAUGGGUCCGAUAUAGCAUUAAUGUGCUAUACGUGUCUUUAAUUUGGACUUGUAUGUUUUUUCUCCUUCAUGAUUAAAGAAACGUCUGGCGAAUAUUGGAUCAAAGAACUCAGUUUAAAGAACGAAGAUAAGGCGAUACUAAAAUCUCAAAGAAUGCUGAAUGAUCGUCACAUGAACGCUGCGCAAAAACUAUUAAAGAAAAAGUUUCCACAUAUCAGUGGCUUACAGGACACCAUCUUAUCCCAAACUUCGUUCGUGAACACACAGGGUGAAGGAAUACAGAUUCAUAACACUGGAAAAUACCAUUGGAUUACAUCGGCAUCGA